rnacentral:snRNA from 1 species
AUUGGAACCAUAACAGAGAAGAUUAGCAUGGCUCCUGCAAAAGAUGACAGGCAAAUUCAUCAAGCAUUCCUAUUAUUA